UACAGAGGGUGCAAGCGUUGUUCGGAAUCAUUGGGCGUAAAGGGCGUGUAGGCGGUCUGUUAAGUCAUGUGUGAAAUCCCUCGGCUCAACCGGGGAACGACGCAUGAAACUGACAAGCUAGAGUACCAAAGAGGGGGGUGGAAUUCCCGGUGUAGCGGUGAAAUGCGUAGAGAUCGGGAGGAACACCGGCGGCGAAGGCGGCUGCCUGGACCAGUCCUGACGCUGAGGCGCGAAAGCUAGGGGAGCAAACAGG
rnacentral:rRNA from 1 species